rnacentral:rRNA from 1 species
CAACAGCGGCGGGGAAACGCCCGGACCCAUUCCGAACCCGGAAGCUAAGCCCGCCAACGCCGAUGGUACUGCACCCGGAAGAGUGUGGGAGAGUAGGAAACCGCC